GCGCCCUUAGCUCAGCUGGAUAGAGCAACGGUUUUCUAAACCGUGGGUCGGAGGUUCGAGUCCUCCAGGGCGCGCCA
rnacentral:tRNA from 1 species